GAGGGAGGGACGGCGCCGCGCCCCGGGGAAGCCGGCGGACCCGGGUCCUACGGCGGCGGGACUCAGGACCCGGGGACGGCGACAGUUCGCAGGCGUUCGUGGGCUCGCCGCCCACCCACUAGGGUCCUUGUGCUUUCCCAGAAAUGAGGGAGGGAUCCCCGGGACCGCAGAGCAUCCCGGUCUCCAGACAACAGGGCACAGAGCCCCCGGCGUGGCAGCCCCCCUCCCCGUGAGGUCGUCCUGGGGCUGAAAACAGCUGUUCAGCCUUGGCUGAGUCACUUUCCCUUAGGUACCGUCGCCCCUCAGGGGCUAGAGAGCCAGCCUCGAUGACCUGAAUUCAGACCUGCCUUGGACACUCACUAACUGUUUGACCCCCGGAAAGUCACUCAAUCCCGCUCACCCUUAGCUUCCUCACCUUACGAGCUCCCCGGAAUCCGAUGACCCUGGUCUUGGGGCCCGUCUGCCCUCCGAGCCCUUGCACUGGCUGUCCCCCAACGCCUGGAAAACACUCUCCUUGCUAACUUCCCUGGCUCCCUUCAAGUCUCAACCCAAGAAGACUUUCCCAGUCCCCUUUAACCCUAGUGCCUUCCCUCUGAGAUCACCUCCCUGGCCUGCAGACCUCCAGAGAUCACCUCCAUUACCUUGCAUUACAUAUUACCUCACUUAAUCGUCACAAACAACCCUAGGGGGUCGGGGCUAUUAUUAUUUAUCCCCAUUUUACAAUCCACAAGUGCCUGCCUAGUUGCACCAGGUACUGUGGGCUGAGAAAGGCAAACACACCAGCCCUACCUUCGAAGAAGAGAAGACGCGUUUUAAUGAGAGAAACAACAUGGAAACAUUGGUCAUACAAGAUGCAUUCAGAGUAAAUGUCUUUGAGCUCCCUGAAGGUCCCGACUGCACACAGAAGACUCGGAAAGCAGGAUUUUCCCCCUCUUUGUGGAGCUUACCAUCUGGAGGGCUUGCUAAGUAGAGAAUUGCCCUAGUUUCAUAUUUAUCUGUCAAAUGAAGUUUUCUAAAGUUCCCUUCCCUGCCACUGUGUAGAGAGUAUAUUUAGGGCACCUAUCUGUAAGUGAAUGUAUGAGAAUGUAUGAGCAGGGGAAGUUGAUUAGAAUUAGAGGAAAGAUAGGGGAAAAAAAGGGAGAGAGGAGAAAGAGAGAGAGCUGAAAAAGAGUACACAAGUCAGAGGAUCUUUUCCUAAGAGAUGUUUGCUUAACACUGAACAGAGUAGGUGCCUAAUAAAUGCUUAUUCCCUUCCCCGAUUUUCACUUCUGCCUCAGAAGCAGGGCACUAGCCAAAUCUAAGUUGAUAAUGAAGCCACGACCUCUGGUUCCAUUGGUUAGGCCUUCAGGGAAAGCUGCCUGCCAAGCAUUUUCUACUGGGAAUGCCUGCAAGGGUCAAUUUAAGGGUGUGGCAAUCAGCCGGAGGCCUUGUCAGCUGCCUGUCCACAUGCCUGUCUGCUUCAGGACCUUGGAAAACACCUUCGUACCACCCUAGAAAACAAACAAGCCCCACUCCAAAGGGGUAUGGAGCCAACUGAUGAUGUGUCUCCCAUAGAAUUCCUAUACCGGCAACACAACCUGUUCCAGCCAGUCUUCAGACCAGGAACAAGACUCCACUUCUCUUUGAUGCAGAAAUCACAAAAACAUGCUUAAUGAGGACAAGGCUUUGGGAGUCAUGGCCCUAUUCCUUAAAUGUCCCGGAAGGCUCUGAUUCCUUGUCUCUUUGAUGGAACUAAAAAGUGUCACCUUCUAUACACAUCUAGUGCUGCUUAGCAUGAGGUCAAAUUUGCUGGAAGCCAAAUUAAAUCCAGACAUUCUUGGUAGGGCACUGUCCCCAAUACAUACAACUAGGUUCACAGAUCAAGGAAUUAUGCAGCAAGCCAUUCCCAAAUCACAACGAAGGUCAGAUUCUUAGGAAAAUGUCAUGCUGUGGAUUCCUUAUUGCUUGAAAUAUCUUUGGGAAUUAAAGUAGUCCAGUUACCACUUCCCCUUAGACCUAUUCCAGAACAUAAUUAAACCACUCAAGCACUCAGGGGAUGAACAAUUCCAUGGGGCUUCUAUAAAAUUCUAUUUGUGAACCUCAUGCCUGCCACAGGAGGUUCGCUCAACUCUUUCUAUCACAUGGGCACGGCACCCAGUCUUCUCUAGGCGUUCACAUUUUAACAAACUAUGAUUCUACAGGAAUGUGCCCUUUGUUUUCUCAAAUCAGGAUGUAGGGGGUAAAUAUCCUUAUUGGUCACAUAAGAAAUGGGAAUUCAAUUCCCCAACGGGAACACUUAAAAUUGCAGAGGCAGUAUGCUCUGGUGGAUAAAAAAAAGAGGUAAAUUAGGAGUACAAAGACGUGGGUUCUAACUUCAGUUCUGCCAUUAGCUAGCUGUGUGACAUUGAGCAAAUCACCACAAGUCUCUGAACCUCCUCUUUCUUGAUGAAAUAAAUUGUAUAAUUUUUAUAAUUGUAUAAUAAUUGUAUUAUAUAAUAAUUGUAAAAAUAAGUAGAAAGGCUUGUAAUCCCAUCUACUUGGGAGGCUGAAGCUAGUGGAUCACUUGAGGGCUGGAGUUCUAAGCUGUAGUGGGCUAUGCUGACUGACAGUCACCACUAAGUUUGGCAUUGAUAGGGUGAGCCCCUAGGAGCAAGGCAGAAGGUGACCAGAAGCACACCUCAGGAGGGUCAAACUGGCCCAGGCUGGACAUAGAGGUCAAAGUUACUGUACUGGUUAGUACUGAUUAGUCAUGUGACUAUAAUUUUUAUUUCUUCAUUUGAAAAACUGCCUGUUCCUAUCUAUAGUCGUAUGAAAAAAUGC